rnacentral:rRNA from 1 species
AUUGAACGCUGGCGGCAGGCUUAACACAUGCAAGUCGAGCGGGGUGAUGGUGCUUGCACUAUCACUUAGCGGCGGACGGGUGAGUAAUGCUUAGGAAUCUGCCUAUUAGUGGGGGACAACAUCUCGAAAGGGAUGCUAAUACCGCAUACGUCCUACGGGAGAAAGCAGGGGAUCACUUGUGACCUUGCGCUAAUAGAUGAGCCUAAGUCGGAUUAGCUAGUUGGUGGGGUAAAGGCCUAACAAGGCGACGAUCUGUAGCGGGUCUGAGAGGAUGAUCCGCCACACUGGGACUGAGACACGGCCCAGACUCCUACGGGAGGCAGCAGUGGGGAAUAUUGGACAAUGGGGGGAACCCUGAUCCAGCCAUGCCGCGUGUGUGAAGAGGGCCUUAUGGUUGUAAAGCACUUUAAGCGAGGAGGAGGCUCUUUUGGUUAAUACCCAAGAUGAGUGGACGUUACUCGCAGAAUAAGCACCGGCUAACUCUGUGCCAGCCGCCGCGGUAA